GGAGCUAGCUGUCUGUUGGGAUAGAUGGGAGGAAUCUAAGAAGCCAAACAAAGUGGUGGAGGAGGUGGCCAUGAGAAGCCCUGAUCAUGCUUUUUGAAUGCUAUCUUUGCCAGUGGUGUAGACCAUACAUAGAUUUCAAUCGGUGAGUCAACCUAGCUAGUCUUGUGUAAAAUACUUCUUGUUGCUGAUUACUGUGUAUUUAGGGGCUGCUGCUUGCUGUGAGGUGCACUGAGGCAACACAAAGUCUUUUGAGCUCCUUGGAGAAAAUUCACCAUGGAAGUGCAAAUUACCACCAUUGUACCAUGGGCAUGAGACUUGCAUCAGCUUACAAGGACGGCUGGAGUAUCAAAGAAAAGCAGCCGAAACUGUCCAGUCUCAAUCCAGGUCCCGUGCUCAAUGCAGCGGGGGUGGCACACGCGCUGGUCACAAGCUGCGCCUGUCCAGCCCUCUUCACAGCGGCAGGCUCCCCCGAUGCAGACGCCGUGAGUGCCACAGUCUACUGAGCACACUUCUGGAAGAAAAACAAUGAUUACAGCUCAACACCACAGCGGGGUGAAGUCCUUCAAGGAAGCCAGACCACACACAUGGCUCCAGAGCAGGCCGAUGCUUAGCAGCCAUAGCAGAUCACAGACCCAAUGGCUUAAGAGACGAGAGUGAGAAAGGUACCAUAAGAUUGACCAAAGUCCCUCUUAUCCCAAGCAUAAAGACAAGAUUUCCAUCCAGCUAGAAGGUGAUGGAACACCAGGUUUGAGUGUGGGAAAGUGAGGAGACGAUCUCUUGACUUACCAACGGAGCAGUCGGGACCCAUCCAGUUCGGAUCACAGCUGCAGAGGCCAGAGUCGGGGAGGGCUGCAUAGACACUCUCCAUUCACACAGACACCAUGGCUGGAGCAGGUGGGAUCCAAGCAGUCAACUGGAACAAGAGAAGAAACACUAAUCGGUCAUGAAGAAUGGGCCACUAAGACCCGGACCCCUACCCCAACACACAAGCAAAUAAAGGUGCUUACACAUUACUCAUGUGGCUGUCUCUCUUGACAGCCACAAAAAAAGGAAUUUUAUAUGUUAGAGUACCAAAUCCCAAAAUGUAAAGAAGACACGAGAGACACAAGGGAAUUCCUCAGGCGCAGUCAGCAAGAGUCAGCCGUAGCUUCUUCACAGAUGGAAAGGUAACGGCGUCACACUUUUCCAAAGCUAUGCUUUCCAACCUUCAGCCUUGACUGCUCCACAGCAGGAUCAGGAAAGACAUGUGGUGCAUUCUGCAUGUAUGGCGAAGCCUGAUUACCCUCGCUCAAAGAGAAAGC